UACGAGGAGGGGCUAGCGUUGCUCGGAAUCACUGGGCGUAAAGGGUGCGUAGGCGGGUCUUAAGUCAGGGGUGAAAUCCUGGAGCUCAACUCCAGAACUGCCUUUGAUACUGAGGAUCUUGAGUUCGGGAGAGGUGAGUGGAACUGCGAGUGUAGAGGUGAAAUUCGUAGAUAUUCGCAAGAACACCAGUGGCGAAGGGCGGCUCACUGGCCCGAUACUGACGCUGAGGCACGAAAGCGUGGGGAGCAAACAGG
rnacentral:rRNA from 1 species